rnacentral:rRNA from 1 species
UACGGGGGGGGCAAGCGUUGUUCGGAAUUACUGGGCGUAAAGGGUUCGUAGGUGGCCAACUAAGUCAGACGUGAAAUCCCUCGGCUUAACCGGGGAACUGCGUCUGAUACUGGAUGGCUUGAGAGUGGGAGAGGGAUGCGGAAUUCCAGGUGUAGCGGUGAAAUGCGUAGAUAUCUGGAGGAACACCGGUGGCGAAGGCGGCAUCCUGGACCAACACUGACGCUGAGGAGCGAAAGCCAGGGGAGCAAACGGG